rnacentral:rRNA from 1 species
ACACAUGCAAGUCAGGGUAGCAAUACCCUGGCGCACGGGUGAGUAACACGUAGGUAAUCUACCCUUAACCCUGUGAUAACUCUGGGAAACUGGUGAUAAACACAGAUGAGGUCUUGAAAUUCGAGAUCAAAGCUUUAGGGCGGUUAAGGAUGAGCCUGCGUCUGAUUAGCUAGUUGGUGAGAUAAUAGCUCACCAAGGCAACGAUCAGUAGCUGGUCUGAGAGGACGAUCAGCCACACUGGAACUGAGACACGGUCCAGACUCCUACGGGAGGCAGCAGUGAGGAAUAUUGGUCAAUGGGGGAAACCCUGAACCAGCGACGCCGCGUGUAGGAUGAAUGAGCUUUGCUCUGUAAACUACUGUCGGAAGGAACGAAAAGCCCCCUCUGGGGGCUGGGACGGUACCUUCAAAGGAAGGGUCGGCUAACUACGUGCCAGCAGCCGCGGUAAUACGUAGGACCCAAGCGUUGUCCGGAUUUACUGGGUGUAAAGGGUGCGCAGGCGGGCUUGUGCGUCAGAGGUUAAAUACCACGGCUUAACCGUGGAAAUGCCUUUGAUACGGCAAGUCUUGAGUGCGAGAGAGGAUGGUGGAAUUCCUGGUGUAGCGGUGAAAUGCGUAGAUAUCAGAGGAACACCAGUGGCGAAAGCGGCCAUCUGGCUCGCAACUGACGCUCAGCACGAAAGCGUGGGGAGCAAACAGGAUUAGAUACCCUGGUAGUCCACGCCCUAACGAUGUAUGCUUUGUGUUGGGGAGAAUCUCAGUGCCGAGUACCCGUAGCAUACCACUGGGAGUACGAUCGCAAGUGAAACUCAAAGAAUGACGGGGGCC